rnacentral:rRNA from 1 species
CUAGCGACUUCAGAGUUUGAUCCUGGCUCAGGAUGAACGCUGGCGGCGUGCUUAACACAUGCAAGUCGAACGAAGCACUUCUACUGAUCCCCUCGGGGUGAUUUAGUUGUGACUGAGUGGCGGACGGGUGAGUAACGCGUGGGUAACCUGCCUCAUACAGGGGGAUAACAGUUAGAAAUGACUGCUAAUACCGCAUAAGCGCACAGUACUGCAUGGUACAGUGUGAAAAACUCCGGUGGUAUGAGAUGGACCCGCGUCUGAUUAGCUAGUUGGUGGGGUAACGGCCCACCAAGGCGACGAUCAGUAGCCGGCCUGAGAGGGCGACCGGCCACAUUGGGACUGAGACACGGCCCAG